CUUAGUUCUCCACAAAAUCAUUCCAUCUUUAAUCUCCUUUUUGCCAACACCUCAAAUGUAAAGUUUUUCCCUGAAUACAGAGGCUGGUAUUAUCUGAUAAUGGAAUCAAUUUACAAUCAUUAUUUUGGACCACUAAGCCCCGCAGAAAGAGCUGUUAGAUUGUAAAACCCUUAUUCAACCGCUUUAAUUCCUAUUGUAGCUUUCAAGAUGGUUGAAGUUACUUUAAAACCAGCAACUUGAUUCAGAUGCUGUAACUGAGUAAAUUCUAAAAAAGGCAUCCAAGGGGAAGAUGGCGGUGUUAAACCAGGUUACAAAUUUAAGUCUCCCACCCAAGAACCCAGAACACAAAGAGCCAAAGCAAAUACCAUAAGGUAUUCCUUCUGAUAACUCUACCAAUCAACCACUCCAGAAGGGUACUUGUAGUUGUAUUAGCAGCAUCGCUCCAGAUGUCACCAGCUCUCUAAUGGGGUUCUGGGGUGUUUCUAUGUACAAUAGCAGCAUUGUCCCAGAUAUAUGAACAAUAUUGCAGUACAUGGGCCUCACAGCCAUUAUCUAAAAUACAAAAAUAUCUUACCGCUGGAGUUUUUGAAGAAAUUCAGUUUAAUCAUCUGCUUCAUGGACAUUUUCUGAAAGGCAAGAAUAAAAAUAAUGAACUGAUGAUGAUAACUAAUGACGGUGAUGAUGGUGCUGGUGAUAGUAGUAGUAGUGGUGAGGAUGAUGAGAGUAAUACUGGUUUCAAAUUUUGGCACAUGACCUGUAAUUUCAAGGGAGGGGGCAAGUCGAUUACACUGCCCCCAGUGCUAGGAUGAAAGGAUGAAAGGCAAAGUUGACCCUAGUGGAAUUUGAAUUCAGAACGUGAAGAUGGACAAGAUGCUGCUAAGCAUUUUACCUGGCGUCCUAAUGAUUCUGCCAGCUCACCACCUUGGUGACGACUAAUAAUGACAACAAUGUUAUCAUUGAAUAUCAAUGAGCACUGCAACCAUGCACACUGACGCCACCACAACCAAUAACAUCUCCAUCACCACUACUAUGCCACUCUACUGUCAUCAUCACAAACCACCACCAUACCAUCACCAUUAUCACUGCUACAACAAAGAAUCUUGUACAAAUGCUACAAUCACCACCACCAAAUAACUACUGCUGCUAUCACCAUCACUAGUGCACAACCACUGCUGUCCCACAACUACCAUCACCACUAAUAUCACACAACUAUAGUUAAUCCUUUUGUUACCAUAUAUCUGUUGAACUACAUUGCAUUCGUUUCAAUUAAUUUGGAAAAUAAUAAAGAAUUUGAUAUA